AUUGAACGCUGGCGGCAGGCCUAACACAUGCAAGUCGAGCGGUAACACAGGGAGCUUGCUCCUGGGUGACGAGCGGCGGACGGGUGAGUAAUGUCUGGGAAACUGCCUGAUGGAGGGGGAUAACUACUGGAAACGGUAGCUAAUACCGCAUAACGUCGCAAGACCAAAGAGGGGGACCUUCGGGCCUCUUGCCAUCAGAUGUGCCCAGAUGGGAUUAGCUAGUAGGUGGGGUAACGGCUCACCUAGGCGACGAUCCCUAGCUGGUCUGAGAGGAUGACCAGCCACACUGGAACUGAGACACGGUCCAGACUCCUACGGGAGGCAGCAGUGGGGAAUAUUGCACAAUGGGCGCAAGCCUGAUGCAGCCAUGCCGCGUGUAUGAAGAAGGCCUUCGGGUUGUAAAGUACUUUCAGCGGGGAGGAAGGUGUUGAGGUUAAUAACCUCAACAAUUGACGUUACCCGCAGAAGAAGCACCGGCUAACUCCGUGCCAGCAGCCGCCGUAACAC
rnacentral:rRNA from 1 species